UCAAAAACAUCGCCUCUUGUACCUAAUAAAUAAGAGGUCCUGCCUGCCCUGUGACAAUUAGUUCAACGGCCGCGGUAUUUUGACCGUGCGAAGGUAGCGCAAUCACUUGUCUUUUAAAUGAAGACCUGUAUGAAUGGCAAAACGAGGGCUUAGCUGUCUCCUUCCCCCAGUCAAUGAAAUUGAUCUCCCCGUGAAGAAGCGGGGAUACUUACAUAAGACGAGAAGACCCUAUGGAGCUUUAGACACCAAGGCAGAUCACGUUAAAACCCCCGAAUAAGGGAAUAAACAAGAUGAAGACUGCCCUAUGUCUUUGGUUGGGGCGACCGCGGGGCAAAAAGUACCCCCCAUGUGGAAAGGGAACACCCUUCCUAUCACCCAGAGCUACCGCUCUAAUUAUCAGAACAUCUGACCAAAAGAUCCGGCUCAAGCCGAUCAACGGACCGAGUUACCCUAGGGAUAACAGCGCAAUCCCCUUCUAGAGACCCUAUCGACAAGGGAGUUUACGACCUCGAUGUUGGAUCAGGACAUCCUAAUGGUGCAGCCGCUAUUAAGGGUUCGUUUGUUCAACGAUUAAAGUCCUACGUGAUCUGAG
rnacentral:rRNA from 1 species